rnacentral:piRNA from 1 species
AGGGCAGUCUUUCUUCCUGGGCC